UACGAACGGUCCAAACGUUAUUCGGAAUCACUGGGCUUAAAGCGUCCGUAGGCGGCUCGGAAAGUAGGGUGUGAAAUCCCACGGCUCAACCGUGGAACUGCGCUCUAAACUACCGAGCUUGAGGAAGAUAGAGGUAAGCGGAACUGAUGGUGGAGCGGUGAAAUGCGUUGAUAUCAUCAGGAACACCGGUGGCGAAGGCGGCUUACUGGGUCUUUUCUGACGCUGAGGGACGAAAGCUAGGGUAGCGAACGGG
rnacentral:rRNA from 1 species